AUUGAACGCUGGCGGCAGGCUUAAUACAUGCAAGUCGAACGCCCCCUUCGGGGGGAGUGGCAGACGGGUGAGUAACGCGUGGGAACGUGCCCCAAGGUAGGGAACAACUCCGGGAAACUGGAGCUAAUACCCUCUCUGUCCGAGAGGAGAAAGAUUUAUCGCCUUGGGAUCGGCCCGCGUCAGAUUAGCUAGUUGGUGGGGUAAAAGCCUACCAGGGAGGCGUUCUGUAGCUGUUCUGAGAGGAAGACCAGCCACACUGGGAUUGAAACACGGCCCAGACCCCUACAGAAGGCAGCAGUAGGGAAUCUUGGACAAUGGGCGCAAGCCUGAUCCAGCCAUGCCGCGUGAGUGACGAAGGCCUUAGGGUUGUAAAGCUCUUUCGCACGUGACGAUAAUGACGGUAACGUGAGAAGAAGCUCCGGCUAACUUCGUGCCAGCAGCCGCGGUAAUAC
rnacentral:rRNA from 1 species